rnacentral:hammerhead_ribozyme from 1 species
CUCCAGCUGACGGGUCCGAAAUAGGACGAAACGCGCUUCCUGUAU